AUGGCUGUGACUGAAGGCUGCUGGGUGAGGAGGAGACUGAAACCCCUGGUGCGGAGAGAAGGGCUGAAGUGUGUUCGUCUCAAAGAUCCUCUGUUGCUUACAAGGGGAAGGCACAGACAGUGCAGUGACAGCUGUUGUGGCACUUGGUCAUCGGGGUGUGUUUGUGUGAUGUCUGGGUCCAGCACUUGGUGACUAGGUACUGACAAUUCAUGGGCACUUUAAAGUUUUAAGCUGCAGCCCUUUUGUAAGUAAACUUUCUGAUCUGCAAGCCAGAGAGACUUUCUUCUACAUACGUUGCCAGUGUGCCUUAAAUAAUCUUUGAUGUGAUGGUCUAUCUGUAGCAGUGGCUGAGCUGCAGGCUGUUCGGGGCAAUGUAUCUGCACUUCAUCCCUCUACCUGGAGCCACAGCCACGGGCAUACAUACAGAUAGAUUCUUAGCAGUGUUCAAAUGAGAUAUAGUUGUCUGUAAGCCACCUAUCUCCAAGUUCUGUCACAUUGUACAGUUCUUAAAUUGUCCACUUAGAGGCAUUCUCAGCAGAAUUUAUUUCUAGUUUAAUAUUAAUCUUGUCAUUUGGCUUCCACGACUCCCUUGUAGCUUCUGUACUGUUUUGCAGAGCUUCUCCUUAACCCAAUGUUAAUGACAAGGAUACAGAAUAGACAAAUGAGGCAAUUAAAAAAAAAAAGUGUCACUGCAGCAGAAGGAGUAAUAGUCAUAAGUAAUAUUUACUUGGAAUACGGAGUUUAGUAUUGUUCAGAAUGAAGUGCUGCCCUUUGCAAGCAACUUACUGUAUCUAAAUGGACAGGUAUAGGUUUUAUAAGAGCUGUGAGGGGUAAAUUAAAUUUUACUCUUGUGCACUCACACGCCUGGGUUUGUAUUUCAUUUCAGUGGGUGACUUGCCUCAUGGAUAGGUCCCUGUUUCAUUAACUCCUUCUGAGCCUCUUGUAUUAUUAACAUGCAACAAAUAACUUCAGCAGUUAUUUUUCACCUUAAAAAUUGUAAUUGAGGCUUUGGAAACAGCUUUCUCUUCAGUGAUGUGUUGCGAUUUGCACUUGAAGUACAAAUAAAAAUGCCCAUUUCACCCUAUAAUUGAAUUUC
rnacentral:lncRNA from 1 species